UAUAGCGCAGUGGUAGAGCAUGUGUCUGCCAUACACAAAGCCUUGGGUUUGAUCCCGGUA
rnacentral:tRNA from 1 species